rnacentral:lncRNA from 1 species
CUCCAUUAAACUUUAUUUUAUUACAUUUCAUUUUUCUCUCUUAUAUUUUUAACUAUACAAUCUUCCAUAAAAUAAUAUUACACAUAAAUUGAAAAAUUUUCCUUCUUUUUCAACCACUUAUUUUAAAAAAAAAAAUACUAUUUCACUCAUUUUGAUUUCCAAAAAAUUGGAGCCAAACGGGCUAAAAGAGAGGAUGAGUCCAUCACUGUUCAUUCAUGAGGCCUCCGUUUCACACCUAUCCAGAUUCUACUGAUCAAGAACGGGUUUUCUACUGUUCAUUAAAUAUAUUCUUUUGUGAAAGGUUUAACGAUUCACUUCUCUCACGCAUUUCAAUCUUUUACUGCUUCCCUUCUCUUUCCCUUACCCUUUUUCUCUCAUGGCUGAGGAAAAAUUAUUGUUUCAAACACCCAGGACGAAGAAAUGGAACUCGAAAGUGUAACUGGUUCGUACUGCUUAUUAGGGCCAAAACAUUCUCUCCACCUUUUUCGUAGAUAUUUCUUAUUACUUUUGUAUUCAUUUCUCACGCAAACCCUUGCAGUGUUUUCUCCAUUUUUCCUUUGAUAUUUUUCUAUCUUCAAUCUUCCAAAGCUAUUUGUAGGCCGUCAUCCCUGAAUCUCCCUCUUCCAGAUAAAUCGAAUAUAGUUACACAGAAGGCCUCACUUAUUCCAUGGCUCGACCCGCGCAGGAAGAGGCGUUUCCUCUAUUCACUUCGACAAAGAACCAUGGUGAUUCGGCUGUAAAGUUGUCGUCCUUGAAGCAAGUGACGGACAUACUACUAUCUUUACAGCCUUCUCACGACGCAGAGCUCUUUCUGUACUCAAUUGAGCUUCAGACUUCCCCAGACAUGCUCGUGCGUAAAAAAAGGGGGGGCGGGGGGGGGAGUUUCUUGAGUUCCUCUAUUCCGCCACCAAAAAGGAAAAGAGAAAAAAAAAAAAAAAAGGUUGUUUUCUGCGUGUAAACCAAUUUGGAAUUGGUUUCUGCAACCAAGAAACCAAUUGUCUUGUGCACAAUUAAUUAUAUAUUAAAAAAAAAAGACCAAACAAACAAACAAGGUAAGAACUUCAUUUAAACCCAAUUUACCAUGAAAUAUAAAAAAUCUGUUCA